CCUUGCCAGCCCGCUCAGAAACUCAAGGAAAUUGACGGGGCCCGGCACAAGCGGAGGAGCAUGUGGUUUAAUUCGAUGAUACGCGAGGAACCUUACCUGGGCUCGAACGUAAGAUGACUGUAGGUGAAAGCUUACAUCUCUUCGGAGCAUUUUACGAGGUGCUGCAUGGUUGUCGUCAGCUCGUGCCGUGAGGUGUCGGGUUAAGUCCCAUAACGAGCGCAACCCCUACCUUUAGUUGCCAUCAGGUUAAGCUGGGGACUCUAAAGGAACUGCCUACGCAAGUAGUGAGGAAGGCGGGGAUGACGUCAAAUCAGCACGGCCCUUACGUCCAGGGCUACACACGUGCUACAAUGGCCGAUACAGAGGGCAGCUACCUGGUGACAGGAUGCAAAUCUCCAAAGUCGGUCUCAGUUCGGAUCGGAGUCUGCAACCCGACUCCGUGAAGUUGGAUUCGCUAGUAAUCGCGCAUCAGCCAUGGCGCGGUGAAUACGUUCCCGGGCCUU
rnacentral:rRNA from 1 species